CUGGUUUCAGAGGUAGCCCA
rnacentral:siRNA from 1 species